AGAACGAACGCUGGCGGCAUGCCUAACACAUGCAAGUCGAACGAGACCUUCGGGUCUAGUGGCGCACGGGUGCGUAACGCGUGGGAAUCUGCCCUUAGGUACGGAAUAACUCAGGGAAACUUGUGCUAAUACCGUAUGAUGUCGAGAGACCAAAGAUUUAUCGCCUAGGGAUGAGCCCGCGUAGGAUUAGCUAGUUGGUGGGGUAAAGGCCUACCAAGGCUACGAUCCUUAGCUGGUCUGAGAGGAUGAUCAGCCACACUGGGACUGAGACACGGCCCAGACUCCUACGGGAGGCAGCAGUGGGGAAUAUUGGACAAUGGGCGAAAGCCUGAUCCAGCAAUGCCGCGUGAGUGAAGAAGGCCUUCGGGUUGUAAAGCUCUUUUACCCGGGAAGAUAAUGACUGUACCGGGAGAAUAAGCUCCGGCUAACUCCGCGCCAGCAGCCGC
rnacentral:rRNA from 1 species